rnacentral:lncRNA from 1 species
ACGGAGGCGCUGACGGGGCCCCGCGCGGUGGCGCUGGCGGCGGACGCCGUGCUGGGAGCGCCGCCCCCCCCGCCCUGCACCGCGCAUUUCCACGUGUCUGCGCGCGGCAUCACCCUGACCGACCGCCAGCGCAGGUGGGGACACACGGACACGGCCAUACGGACGUACAGACACACAGCCACACACAGCCACACACAACCAUACAGCCGCACAGCCACAGCCACACACAGCCAUAUAGACACAGCCACACACAGCCCCCCCAGGCCCCCCCACAACCCCACAAAGCCCCAUAGCCCCCCCACAACCCCACACAAAUCCCCCGCACAGCCCUACACAGGCGCACAGCCCCCCCACAGCCCUACACAG